rnacentral:lncRNA from 1 species
CUGGGGGGCUGCCGCCACGCUGCGUCCGCUUCGGCCCUCUUUCUGGGCGCUGUCGGUUUGGGGCAAGUUUGUUUUUUAAAAAAACAACAACACUAGUCGCUCUCAAAUUUGGCGUAUCGUCUCUGCCGUUGGAGCAGAAGGAGACUGCGCGUUUCGCCCAUAGGCCAGCCUUCGGGUGUGCAAAACCUCUGAGCACGUGCAGAGUGCAAACCCCUCCGCCAGCCGGGGCUGGAGAAACUUCGCAGUGCGUCGGGCGGGCGUUUCUGCCCCGCCUUUCUUUGCCGUAGGCAUCGGGGCGCCGUCGGUCGCUCUUCUCUCCGCCAGUUCGUCUUCACAACAACCCCGCGAGGCCUCCCGGUCCCCCGCCAAGAUGGCACUCUCUCCUGGGCAAGGCGGGGGCUGCCUUGGGCUGUGCCUGGUUUUGGUGGCCCUGGGGGACGCCAGGGUUUUCCUCCAGGAGAAAGCUCCGCAUCAAAGCACCCUCAUUGCUGCCAUCUCCAUCCCCAUGAUAGUGGCUGCCGUGAUGACAUUUGUUGCUUUCUUGGUGAUAGUCAUGGCGUGCAUGCUAUUGAAGCUGAGGUUCUCCUGCCCCUGUAUGAGGGGGGAAUACGAAGCCCUGGAGGGCGCUGGCGUCGUGGAGCCCGUGGAUGGCGAGGAUGGCGGCCGGCUGGAUCGCGGCGCAGGGCGCCUCCCCACCUACGAGGAGGCGGUCUACGGUCACGUGGGGACGUCGCCGCCCUUUGGCGCCCAAGGCCCGUGCCCGCUGUUUUCCGAAAGCGACUUCUCUCGCCCAGAGCCCCGUAGCCCCUGCCUUGCUCCGGGGGGGUCCCCUUUCUCAGAGGAGCCCCCUUCCUACCACGAGGCCUUGGCGACGGCGUUUGCGGAAGCGCACGGCCUCCUGAGCCAGGAGCUGCUUGCCAGACGUGUUUGGAUGAAGAGCGUGGAUCCUGCUCCAUGCGGCGCCUGUUCUGUUUGCGCUCUGCUCUUCCAUGCGCAGAAAUCCGGCCCUUGCCGGGGCUGGGGUCGGGUUGGGGCUGAUGCUGCCAAUUCCCGUCCCAGACUCUCCCUCUGGCGGUGGACAGAAAUCCCGGCGCAGGGAGGCCGAGCCUCUUGGCUACUCGGGGGCGUCCGCCGAGGAGCCCCCCGUUUUGCAAGAGAAGGCAGGGCCAACUGCGGCGGGGGCUUUGCCGAAGGGGCAGGUGGAAAGCCCGCUUCCUGGCGCAAGAAUGCGGCCUGGGGGGCCGCUUGCAUGGCGCGGGCCCAUUCCAACAUACUCGAUGCCUAUUUCGGCCUGUUUUUAAGCGACAAUUAA